UCGCACAACUUCUGACAUUACCUUAUAAGAUCACACAGCUAGUAUAAAUAUAUCCUCCAAUUACCUUCAGUCAAGCGGUUAAGGAAACAAAUAAAAUAAUUUCUGAAAUAAUUCAAACAUUGCCGCAAUAAACGAUGUACCUCAAACAAUUUAUUUCAUUCCCAUUAAAUCCAUGUAAAAAUUGUUUAUUUACAGCGUGUUAAACUACGCAAAGUCGAUAGUUCCAUGCACAUCCGCAAAUAAUAUACACUACACGCGUUGUCUACCUUGAGUCAAAAGGUUACAUUAAAAAAGCUAUAGUACUCGAUUGCAAUAGACAUGAUGUCAAUUAAACUUAGAAAAUUCGAUUCACUGAACAAAUUUAGAGAAACUGAAAGAUUAAUUUAACUUUUUUAUAACUUCUAUUUACCAUUUAACAAGUUUCUGUUUUAUCGGUAGAUCUUCUGUAUAGCAACAUAUACACACAAAAAGUGCUCAAGAAUUGGAAAAAACAAAAACGUUCGCAAUUUGUUCAAAUAAAAUUUUGGCAUAUAUGUUACUAUUAAAAAAUUUGAUAAAAAUAUCAAAUCGAGACAGUGUAUACCCACUGAACAUGUGGAUAAGGGAUGUCACCUAUUUUUGUGAUGUACCUGCAAAGAUUUUUCCAUGCAACAUUUUCUGGGAAUUGCGAAAAAGUAAAAGAAUUUUCUUUAAAAUAAAACAAAUACAUGAAAUUAUGUGUUUACACAAGCGCAGUGGUCUGCAAUUUCUGUGCAAGUUUAUUGAUGAGUAGCAAAAACAUGAACGGAAUCGGCAUACAAUUAGAAUAUUACAGUUGAAGUAAGAUUUGUAAAUGUAAUUAAACUUUUUUUUUCCUUAUUUUAGUUGUGUCUGUAGUUUAUAUUUUCAAGCGUAGUAAUGUUAGUAAAACAAAAUACUCGGAACGCAUGCAUGUGACGUCAUCAUGAGAGCCGCAAUCUUAAUGUAAACAAAGUGAUAUAAAUUAGGUCAUGCUCAAAAUAAGGGAAUCGUACGAUACAUACUCAUGAUAUUAAUUAAAGUGGAAAAGUACCCCAUACCACGGGUGUGUGGAAAUGUAUAAAAAAAACAACACACACUACAAUUAUGUUUCAGAAUUUUGCGACUCAUUGAAAAAAAAAAAUUGAAAAGUUCGCAACUCAAAAAAAAAAGUUAGUGGGCCAGGGUCCUCACAAAAUCAUGGAAAAAAACUUGGAAUAUCUGAGAAUACAAUAAUUGAGGUCUACUUAUUUGUCUAUAAUCAAUAAUAUUUACUGUCAACUCGAAGCUCCUCAAAAUAUUAAAGAAAGAUAUGUAUGCGUUGCAGAUGAAAAUAUAAGAUACGAUACUGAAAAGGCCAAACGUCUUGAAGAAUGGAAAAGUAUAUCUCCAGAAAUUAUGUCUGCUUAUGUACAAAUGCAGACACCCAAUAAGCGACAAUGUGCUGAUUGUUGUCUCUCCACAGAUGAACUGUACAGGUGUUGUGAUUGCUGUUCAUGGGAGACUACGUGCCUCACAUGCUUGCGGUUGAGGCAUAAACAUCCUCAUCUGCAUUUGGAAGAACAUGGCUUACCUUUCUUUCAUUGAUGAUGAUGAGGCUUGGAAAUUGAAUGACCAUUCCUGUAGCACUACUUACCUGAAAAAACUCGUGGUCGUGGAUGAUAAAGGUCGACAGCAUUUGAAGACCCUGCAAUUUUGCAAGUGUGAAGUUGAAGCUGUACGCUUGAUUAGGUUCAACCUGUGGCCAUCUUCAACCAAAUUUCCAAACGUGGCAUUUCACUUCGACUUCAUGCGCUGGUUAUGUGGUCUUCUUCUUGAAAGCUCGGUGUCAUUUAAAAGUUUCUGCUCCGCAUUAGACGCGUGGACAUCAAAUCACAUGAAGACAUAUAUUCAUCACCCUGUCAAAGAUUUGUACAAAGUGCUUGUAGGAGGAACAGCUGAUGAAUUUCGACAUUUUAUCUACCAAAUGGAAAACAUCCACGAUGAUGGAUCCAAAUGUCCAGCUUGUUAUGAGGAUUCUCCCUCCCUGAUAAGCUUGCUAGAGCAGAGGAUGUAGAAAAAAAAAGCAAGGAGGCUCUUCAAGAAAUUUUGGAACCUUUUGCAGGAGUAACAACUGAAUGUCUACAGGAAUGGAUAGAUUAUGAGCGGGUUGUGUGUAUCCGCAGCAAAUCAACUGAAAAUCACUCCUUGUCACCUGCUGAAGAGUAUUGUCUAGUCCUGGAGGAGCUAACAAAAUACAGGGGUGUGUUUGCGACAGAUGUAAACAAAGAUAAGAAAAGGCUAGAGACAAAACUGAAAAAGAAAGGGAAGAAGGCUGGUGUCAAAUGGGACUCAACAAAUGUUGAUUACCUGCGGACACUCAAGACUGCACAAGAGAAACUAAGACACUGGAGACCCUUCAACAGACCACUGCAGAGAGGCUGUUUUUGUUAGAUUUAAUGAAAAAGUAUGCAAGAGGACAAGCUGUAGCCAUAAGAUUGGGCAAGCAACAAAAAGAUAAGAGAACAGCUGUCGUUGUACAAUGCGGUUGGCGGGGAAGUCGUUAAAAUGCCGACACAUUUGUCAUUUGAAGAUGUAAAGUCGUGCGACAGCAAGCUGUGGGACAUUUUGAAGUCAUUAGAUGUAGGUGCUUGGAGGACCAGUGUGCCUGUGUCUGUAAAACAGCAAGCUGUUCGCCUGUUUUGCAUGACACAGAGAGCUGCAGAAGAAAAGGAACUUUUGAUUUCAGAAAUGAAGUCAACAUUACAUUUCUUUUCCAAUGAACAUUCAGGUCUUUUAAACAAGGUCCUGGAUAAUGUUAAAGGAGACAUGCCAGUCAUCAUCAAAGAAGGGCUUUAUGUGGAAAUGAAAUUUAAUUCAUUACUGAAGGCAUUCCAGUCAUAUCUCCCAGACUUAACACUGACUUUGCUUUCUGAUUUUGCACAAAAGGUUGGUCUAACCAGCGUUCAAGAGGCUCGUAUUUCUGAAAUAAAUUAUGGAAACUUACCAGAAUACGAGUUAGAACCCUCUGAACCAACUGAUGUAAUACUCAGUGAUGAGGAUUUUACAGACAGUGAUAGUGACAAUGACUCUGAUAGUGACAAUUAAAUGUUUAAAAGACAUCAUUGACUCAAAAGCAAUAUUGUCUUAAUUGUCUCAAUUGAAUUGUUCGCAAUAAGUGUUCUAAGAUAAGACAAACAACUGUGCUAUGGCUUUUUAAAUGCUCUUGUUUGUAGCUCAACUGGUAGCUCAACUGAGCACAAUGUGAGCUUUUGUGAUCGCCUUUUGUCCGUCGUUGGUUGUAUAACACAAAAGCUCACAUUGUGCUCAGUUGAGCAAAAUCAGAAAGCAAAGUCAGGGUUUACUCUGGGAGAUCUGGGAGAUAUGACUGGAAUGCCUUCAGUAGUGAAUUACUUGAAUCACUUUCCAGCCAUAUCAGUAAAAAGGUGAUUGGCAUUUAUUUCGUAUUUAAAUUCGCUUUAUAUAUCGACUUUUCUCCCCGCAAAUUUUGUUAGUGGAGCCCAAAUAGGGUCAUCCUGCUAGGAAAUUUCGCAGCGAGUAAAGUCGAGAUAUAUAUAGAGCGAAUAUAACUAUGAAAUAAACGCCAGUAUCUUUCUUGCUAAUAUGGCUGGAAAGUGAGCGGAAUUUAAAAACUUAUGCUUUGUAAGCACACUUAUCGGCCACAUUUAUUGUCCGAUCUUUUUCAUCUUGUUAACUCAAUAUUUAUUGUCCACUACCGGUGAAACCGGGGGGGGGGACUUAUUGUUUGCGCUCCGUGUGUCAGUCUGUCUGCGUGUGUCAGUCUGUCUGUCAGUCCGUCACACUUUUCUGGAUCCUGCGAUAACUUCAAAGUUCUUCAUAUUUUUUUAUGAAACUUGAAACGUGGACAGAUGGCUUAUAUGGAGAUUAUGCACGUCAAUUCAUUUUGUUCCUAUGUCAAAAAUUGUGGUUGCUAUGGCAACAAAUGUAAAAAAAUAAAAUAAAAAAAAAUUACUGACUGGUGGAGUUUUACCGGUAGGGGACCAUAUUGCUUGGCAAUCUCUUGUUCCAUAUAUACUGAAGUUGUUAUCCCCCGCCAUAGGCAGAGGGAUAUUGUUUUGGCAUUUUCCGUCCGUCCGUCCGGAGCCAUAUCUUGGAAGUGCUUUGGCGGAUUUCAUUGAAACUUGGUAUGUGUAUAAAUAUGGAUAAGAGGAUGAUGCACGCCAAAUGGCAUUGUACACAAUCUGUUAAUAACGGGGUUAUGGCCCUUUGUAUCUUGAAAUAAUGCUUUUUUGUGUGUCCGGAGCCAUAUUUUGGAAGUGCUUUGGCCGAUAUCAUUGAAACUUGGUAUGAGUAUAUAUAUAUAUAUUAUAUAUAUAUGGAUAAGAGGAUGAUGCAUGUCAAAUGGCAUUGUACACCAUCUGUUAAUAAAGGAGUUAUUGCCCUUUUUAUCUUAGAAAAAAAUGCUUUUUUGAUUGUCAAAUAUAACACUUGUGUCCAGAAGCAUAUUGGCUGGGGGAUAUCAAUUCAACGAAUUUGCUCGUUAUAAACUCACAUUUCAAUGACAAUUUAUGAUAUCUGUUUUCCAGCUGUAUACUGUAUCAUAUGUAAAUCAUGAUUGUGUUGGUAUGCUUGUUUCUUUUUGUUUUUAAAUGCCCCAUGCUACAAAACAAAUUGAAUUGUUCAUGCUUAUAUACUUUUGCCUCAAGCAUUCUCAUAAGGUCAUUUGAAAUGAUGAAACAGUUGCUAUUUUACGAGAACAAUGAUCAGAAUAGAUCAUCUAUAAUUUUGUUGUGUAAAGAGGAUCGAUAAUUGGUUAAUUCUAACUUGUACUAAUACUCAUACCAAUAUUAAAACAUACAUUAUUCCAAAGGAUAAACCAUUCUAGAAUUUACAGAGAAAACUAUUCCUUAUAGAUUCAUCUAUAAUUUCUUUGCGUAAAGGUGGUCGUAUACAGAAAUAAUUAAACUAACAAUCAUGUUCAGGUUGCUAUUAUCAUAAAUAUAUAUAUAAACUGACAAUCAUGUUCAGAUUACUAUUAUCACAAAUACAUGCAUAUAUAUAACAAUUUUAAAAGCAAUUGAUAUAUAUGUCUCAAAAGCUAUGUCCUUUUUACGUCCCAGUCUAUACUUGGGGACAUAUUAUAUUUGCCCUGUCUGUUUGUUGGUUUGUUUGCGUCAAACAUUAACAUUGGCCAUAACUUUUGCAAUAUUGAAGAUAGCAACUUGAUAUUUGGCAUGCAUGUGUAUCUCAUGGAGCUGCACAUUUUGAGUGGUGAUAGGUCAAGGUCAUCCUUCAAGGUCAAAGGUCAAAUAUAUGGGUGGGACCUAGUGUUUCACAAACAUAUCUUGUUUAGUAUAGACUUCAACAUAUCUUGGACAAUACAAUUUAAGAGCAAUUAAGAGGUUGAUGGUUCCACCCCUUUGCUUUUCUGUUGCUGAAAUGGUGUUAGUACAUACACCAAUCAAUUGUUGUUACACCGAUUUACCCUGUUAAUUUUUUUGUGUGUAUGGUGUCGCUUUGCUUCAGCUUGUUUUUGUGAUACUGUAGAUGUUGAGUACUGAAAGGUAAUUAGUAAGGUAUGUAAAACUUAGCUUAACACUUAUGGACAAUGUUUUUGCAUAGUUUAAAUUGUAUGUAUGUUGAGUCAUGUUAUUAAUUGCUUGCAAUAAUUUUAUAUUGUGAAUCAAUGUAUGAAAAAUAAACCUGAAUGAAAUGAAAAUCA